AGAAUCAUGAUGAGAAUAUCACGCUCAAUUUAAUUGUUUUGGAUAAACAUUUCAAAUGAUCUCAAUCUGUUAGAAAAUCUUUUCUAAUUAUUUAUCUACAGAAUCCACCAUUGAAGUCUAUGGUAAUUUUCCUUUGAAAAGCUUAUCUGAAACAAUUAAAGGCUAUAAUUUGUAGUAGUUAUAGUUAAUGUCUGGCCAAUUAAUCCUGUUGUAGAUUGAUGAUCUGUAACAAUGACAUUUCUUAUUUAGGAUCAGUGUGAGUUUGAGGAGGUGGCCGUUUACUUCUCCGAGGAGGAGUGGGACUAUUUAAAUUAUGAAGAGAAGGAGCUUUACCGGGAUGUGAUGAUGGAGAAUUACCGGACCCUCAGCUCUCUGG